GUGAGCGUAGCUCAGUUGGUUAGAGCACUUGAUUGUGGAUCAAGUGGCCGUGGGUUCAAAUCCCAUCGCUCACCCCA
rnacentral:tRNA from 1 species